AGACGUUUGAGUCCUGGCUACAGGACGAACGCUGGCGGCGUGCUUAACACAUGCAAGUCGAACGAUGACGGAGGAGCUUGCUCCUCCUGGAUUAGUGGCGAACGGGUGAGUAAUACGUGAGCAAUGUGCCCUUGACUCUGGGAUAAGCGCUGGAAACGGCGUCUAAUACCGGAUACGACGAUCGGAGGCAUCUCCUGGUCGUGGAAAGAACUUCGGUCAAGGAUCAGCUCACGGCCUAUCAGUUAGUUGGUGAGGUAAUGGCUCACCAAGACGACGACGGGUAGCCGGCCUGAGAGGGUGACCGGCCACACUGGGACUGAGACACGGCCCAGACUCCUACGGGAGGCAGCAGUGGGGAAUAUUGCACAAUGGGCGCAAGCCUGAUGCAGCAACGCCGCGUGAGGGACGAAGGCCUUCGGGUUGUAAACCUCUUUUAGCAGGGAAGAAGCGAAAGUGACAGUACCUGCAGAAAAAGCACCGGCUAACUACGUG
rnacentral:rRNA from 1 species